AGGGCUUUAGUGAUAAAUGGACCUGGCUGUUGUCUGUCCACAGCAGACAGGCAAGGGAUGCAGACAAACAGACACAGAGCCGGAAGAGCUUGCGACUCGGAAAUGAUCUUAACUGCUGAAGCUCAAAUUCCUUAAAGGGAGACCUGGUCUACUGUGGAGUGAAUGCCUGACAGGGAAUCUGAUUACGUCAGGGGAUUUGGCUGCCGGCAGAUAUUGGGGAAUUCCUGGGUCAUGUGCUCGGAUGUGCCCAGGAAUCUGAGCUGAGCUGAGCCAUCUCAAUCCUGCCCACCUCAACAUCCAGUGUUAGGGGCGCCUCAUGCCCAGGACUGGGAUGCUCUGGACCCACAAGGGUUAAUGACAUCGUCGUGGUCCUGGAGAGAACCUGUGUGGAUGGCCGUGAGGUGGGGACACAGGGGCUUGUAUUUAUCAGCCAACCUGCCAAUCCUGGCAUUGGGUUCUGGAGGGGCCGGCAGUGUGGACAUCAAAGCAGCAGAGGCUCCUGCACUGGGGAGACUGCAACUCAUCACCCACCUUAAAGGGAUUCUGAGCCUGGUCACCUGUUCCCUGUGUGAGCACCAGCGUGUAAAUAGUGUAAGGAGGAGAGACAUCUGGACACACAGGGCACAGAAGACAGAGACAGAGGCUGGAGUUACACUGUCACAAGCCUGGGAACACCAAGGAUUGCCGGCACCCACCAGGAGCUAAGAAGAGGCAAACGGGGUUCUCCCUGCGCUGGAUUUCAGACUUCCAGACUCGUGAGAUGAUAGACUUUCCAAGAUCAUGAGGCAAUUUCUGCUGUUUGAAGCAACCGGUGUGCCGUGUUUUGUUACAGCAGCCCUGGGAAACUGAGGAAAUGGAAAUACAGUGGCCCAGCCCACCUGGGUCCUUUUAUGGGUCCUUUGAUGUGCCCGCCUCUUCAGCUCUUGCCCAGGCCCUACCUCCUGCUUUCACUUCUGCGGUUGCCUCUUUCUGACCCUGAAUGAGGUCUGUCUCCUUCAGGGUCAGAAUGCACCUGCCCCCUCAGCUCUUUGAUCUCACCUGGUGGCCUCGUCUCCAGUUCUCUGGAGGCUUUGAUCCUGUUCUGCAGUGAUCUGGGGGCAGGGAUGCCGUCUCUUAGGGCAGAGCUUAGAACGGCAGGGGCAGGGGGUGUUUGGCACUCCCCCCAACCCACCCUCGCCCCUGCCCAACUGGGUUAGAAUUUCCUUUCCUUCCUUCCCAUCACUUCUUAGCUGAGCCACCAAAGGCUAGUCACAGUGAUAGGGAUGGAGCAGAUGCAGGUAGUUUUAGAAGCCCCUAUAAAGGACCACAGAUAACGAGGGAAACUUAGGGGACAGUGGGAUAACCCUGUAAGUAAAUAGAUUGCUCAGAAAAGCCACCAGAACAAGGCAGCUUUGCUUCAUUAGUGGAGACUUGAGAAUUGCCUCAGGCUGGGGGAUGGGGUGAGGGCUGCAUUCAGAUUCAGACCAAGGGCAAGAGUUUGAGGACCAGCCUUCUGCGGAUUUGAAUAUGCAUCUUACCAGAUACCAGGGAGCAGCUGGUACUCCCAGAAAGGAAGAGGCAGGCUUUUCCAACCCCCACUGGAUAAAA